UACGUAGGGUGCAAGCGUUAAUCGGAAUUACUGGGCGUAAAGCGUGCGCAGGCGGUUGAGUAAGUUAGAUGUGAAAUCCCCGGGCUCAACCUGGGAACUGCAUUUAAAACUGCUCGGCUAGAGUGUGUCAGAGGGGGGUAGAAUUCCACGUGUAGCAGUGAAAUGCGUAGAGAUGUGGAGGAAUACCAAUGGCGAAGGCAGCCCCCUGGGAUAACACUGACGCUCAUGUACGAAAGCGUGGGGAGCAAACAGG
rnacentral:rRNA from 1 species